AAGGCGGGGGCGGAGGGCGGGGCCAGAUGAGGGGCGGAGCCUGGGCCUCACCUGGUUCACCUUCUUAAAGGGACAGUAAGACAGGAAGGAAACUUGUUCGACAGGUAAUAAACUUUAAAACCUGGAGGCGUCUUAGUAGGAAUGAAACUGAGGGCGCCCCCUAGUGGGUGUUGCUAGGAAUUGACUAGACAUUCUUAAGCGUAUCCUAAAUCCAACCCAGUUUUGAUCCAGCUUUCAAUCGAAUUCAGCUUGACUUGAAAGAGAUCUCCGUUUUACUCCUUUUCUUUUCUGUGGACUCGAGACUUGUCAUGCCCACUUGGAAUUCUAGGAGUGGGAGACACUCCUUCAUCCUUUUCGGCUCCGAUGACAACCAUGCAAAUUGGUACAAUUCUUUGCAAAGUCUGGAGGAGUCCUCAGGGAGAAGCUGGCGUGACCAGGGUGUUUAGUGGCAGAGAAAGAUUGAGAUUGAGAAAGGCCUGCAGGCAGGGAGCCUCAAGGUGUGCUCAGGGAGUGGUACACGAGCCAGUUUGACUGCUGGGGUACAGCACUUGUCUUGGGAGCCAGGGCAGAAAGACAGGCGCGGACCAGAGCCAGGAGGUUUUGGUAAACAAGAGGAGGAGUUUGCACCUCCCACAGAGCAUACACCAGGAUCUAGAUAGCAUUCCCAGUAUAGUUUUAGUGAAGAAAGGAGCUUGCUACUUAACACGACCUUAGUGGUGGCAUAUCUGGGCUCUCUCUUCGGGACUGCCUCCCAUCCUACUUAACAGAUGUCUGUUCAGCUUUCACUGUGUAUGUCCUUUAAGCUCAGAGACAAUACAGUCCUUGUCCUAAACAAACUAUUUGUCUGAAGGGGUAGGGGGAGCUGAAGUCAGCACGCAGAUGACUAAAAGGUAAGCAGGACUGAACCCCAAAGAGGUGAAAACAGGCUGACAGUGUGAGCUAUGCAGACAGUCACUGAUAGCUCCCGUCCCUGGGGCCCCUCUUUUUCAUCCUUUUCUGGCUUCAUCCCAUUCAUGUGACUCACACGUAUCUUUUCUACCAUUUACACUGUUGCAUAUUUUGAUCAUUGUUCUGGAGGGGAAGAGGUAGAUCCUAGAUACUAUUAGAAUUAAUGCUUCUUAUUAUUUCCCAUUGUUAAAAAAUACAAGAAUUGCUAGACAAAUAUGAUCCCUAAUUUCUUGGUCUACCUUACUCUUGUUGACGUAAUGUCAUAUAUAACAGUCAUUGGGGAAAAAAAAAACCCAUGUUCAAUGGGAAGAACUAAGUGUUGAAUAGAACUCUCCUUCCCUCACUCUGUAAAAUGCCCCAAAUUAAUCACCAUCUAUUUUUCAUAGUUCCUCUCAAAAAUUUCUCCAUGUCUGCGUACUAUUUUAUACUCCCCACCCCCUUUCCCUCCACCCCUCUACACAGACAUGCAUUUAAAUUGUGGGCAGCGGCUAAAGGACAGAGGACACGCACUACUUUGCACUGGGGAUAUCUUCCCCUGAUGUUUAGCAUCUGGCAAGGAGAAGGCCCAUGCCUGCUCUCUCCAUGCGGAACUUUGUGAUUUCAGCAGGGAGGAAUGGAUGAAGGGUGCAAAGCCAACAGAAGGGGGAAUGGAGCAGCAUUGGACAAUCACUGCUAGGAAAUAAGCCAGACUCUGGUGAGGUAAUGCAUGUGCUGUUUUGUGGAGUUUGUUAAAGUUAGAAGACCCUUGGGACUCUAGGGGAUGAGGGAAUUAUGUCAUGCAAUGGAAGUCAGAGUGUUGUUGAGCUCUGGAAAGGAGACUUGCUUUUGUGUUAGGGUAAAUUUUCUAUCCCGGUGUGCAUUUUUUUGUUUUGUUUUGUUUUGUCAACUUGACACAAGCUAUAGUUAUCUGGGAACACCAAACUCAGUUGAAGUACCGCCUCCAUCAGAUUGGCCUGUGGGCUAGUCUGUGGGGGGAUUGCCUAGAUUAAUGACUAAUGUGGGAGGACCCAGUCCACUGUGGGCGAUGCCAUUCCUAGGGCAGGUGGUCCUAGGGAGUAUAAGAAAGCGAACUGAGUAAACCUUGGGAUGCAAGCCAGGAAGCAGUGUUCUUUUAUGAUCUCUGUGUCAGUUGUUACCCCAGGUUCCUGCCUGGGACAUCCCUUCACAAUGGUUCGGUCCAUAAACUGAAAUAAAUCCUUUCCUCCCCAAGCUGCAUGUAUAUGGGACCUGAGUCCUUCACUUUCAUUCAAGGUGAUCUCAAGGUGACAUUGCUUUCUGGUGUGUUACACACAAGAGGCACUUUCAAUUUUGGACUCUGUCUUUGGUUAGCAGUGUGACCCUGUUGAGAUAUUUACAUGCCCUGAGUCUAUUUCCAGGGCUUUUCCUGGCCAGUGGAAAGACAUCAGGACUCUGAGUCAGAAAACUUAGGCCAGUUCCCUUAAUUGUUCUAUGCUUUGGUUUCCUUGCCUAUAAAAUGAGAUUAAUCAAGCCCAGCUCCCAAAUCAGGAAAGACCAUCAGAUGGGCGAAAGUCCUUCCUUAUCUGUUCUACCCUGAGCAAAUGCUAAUUUUCUAGAAGAACACUGGGGCCUGGGGCUUGGGGUGCUCUCCCAUGGGCUUCUUACCUUACUCCUGAACUCAACAACAACCUCUGUGACUAACAUAUCAUUCUUUAUUUUUUUCCUUUCAAAAUAAACUUUAUUGAGGAUCGACAUGAAAUAAACUACACCCCUUCUGAGUAUACAGUUCAGUAGGCUCUGACAAAUGUGUGUGCCCUCAUCACGGCCAUCUCAACACCGAUACAAAUUGUUCCCAUUACUUAGAAACCUUUCCUUGUACUGCUUUGAAUGAUCCCAUUUCUGGCCUCAGGCAUCUGUCAGCAUAGAUAAGCGUGUCCUUUUCCAGAAUUUCAUUAGUCUCUGGGGUCUGGCUUUUCCUCUUUAGCAGGAUGUCACCAAGAUUCCUCCCCAUUGCACAUGUGUCAACUGUUGGCACUUGUUGCUAAGCAUCGUCCUCUGUGUGGAUGUCCUAAGACAUUACUUAACAAUUCUAAGUGAAAACGGAAACUUCUCCACUCUGCUUCCCUAGCAGGCUAGGCCUCUGAUCUGAGGGCCUUCCACUCGGCCACGGCUCCUUCCUAGCUGAAGUCUGACUUCAUCCCUACCCAGGAAGGAGAGUUGCAGUCUUUGCAGUUUGGGCUUCCCCUGAACUCUUGCUUAUUCCUGUAACCCUGAACUUCACGCUGCUUUGAAACUGACCUCACCAGGGGACUUCUGCGACAAACAAAAACAAACUUUCACGUGAAGAGAUGAAAUGAAUUUUUUUUUUAAUUCUUUUUUUUCGGAGCUGGGGACCGAACCCAGGGCCUUGCGCUUGCUAGGCAAGUGCUCUGCCACUGAGCUAAAUCCCCAACCCCAUGAAUUUUUACCUAGAAGAAAAGUUAUUUCCUGCUGUGUGUGUCCUCAGGCCUCCAUAAAAAUUCACAGUUCCCAGCACUAACUCAGACUGGUAUGUAGGUCAUUAUGUUUUGGCCUCACCCCAAGAAGAUAUUUCUUCACCUGCUACCACCAACACUCCCCUCAGACAGACCUGUACCUGCAAGAAGAGAUAUGAUGGCUGUUUAGGAAUGGGAGGAGAGGGAAGGAGGGGAACAUCGGUCAGAAAAAAAAAUGAGAAGAAAAUUACAAUCAGGAGAUGGAAAUUUUGGGUUAUGAUUUUCAACGUAAGCAAGAAGAUUACAUAACUUCAGCAGAUGUGACUCAUAUUGAUUUUUACUCCUUUCUUCUUCCAAAUGAUUAUGAAGAUGGAAUGAACUUGGAAGAUCUGAAUGAAAUUAUGAGAGUUAGGUGAUUCUUAUUCAUGGAGGACAAAAGUCCAAAAGUGAAUUGAAAGAAGAAAAUGAACUUUUACUUUUAGGAGGUACCACCAUUGGUAAACAUCAUGGGAAUAUAACUUGGCUUUUUUCUUCUUUUUCUUUUUUUGCACAUAGCCCUCACUCCGGUUGCUGCCUUUUCUCAUUUUCCCCCUGAGAUUUUGUCAAAAUUACAUUUGCAUCUGUUCCAAGGAGUCAGAUAUUUGUACCCGAUCUAUUUUGAAAAAACAAAACAAAAGGAAAAAAAAAAACCUCUGAGAACCUUGAUUCUUGUUCUUAUCCUCUUUAAUGUUCCCCUUUUAUAGGAAGCCAUUUUGAUGUCUUUUAACCUUUUUGUGCGCAUACAUAUAUGUGUGGGUGUGGGUGUGCAUGUGUGUGUACGUAAAUUAUAUACUUGUGAAUUUUUGAUUUUUCAGUUAUGAGCAUGCUCUCCACUGUGGAAAAUGAAACUCUUCCUGUAUCCCACUAUUUCCUGUAGUUCUAAUAUUUUUAAAAUAUGUAUGCAAUGUUUAGCUCUGACAGUAGAAAUGCUCUUUAUAUCGAAAGCAUGUUUUAAACUAAGACCACUUCUCCCUUUCUGGACACAAUUUUUCUCCCAGCUUAACAGUUGCUUGUUUGUGUUUCACUCUUAUACCCGUGUCAUCAGUGUAAAUCUUUCUUUACAAUUUUAUAUGCACUAGUGUUCUGGUUAGUUUUUAUUGUCAGCUUGACAGAGUAAGAGGAAAGGGGAAGAAAGUCUCAGCUGAGCUAUUUCUCAGAUCAUACUGGCCUGUGGCCACGUCUGCAGGGAAUUGUCUUGGCUAUGUGGGAAGUCCUAUCCCGCUGUCACCUAUUGGCUGGUGGUCCUGGGUUUUAUAAGGAGAGGGGCUAAGCAUGAGCCAGAGGAGGACAAUCCAGUCAGGAGUGUUUAUCCUUGGUUUCAGCUUGAGUUCCUGCUCUGAUUUCCCUUGGCAAUGAACUCAAAAUGUGCACUGAAGCAAACCCUUUCCUUCCUUAAGUUACUUUUGGCCAGAGCGUUUCACCACAGCAACAGGAAAAACAAAAACAAAAAGAAAAACAAACAAAGCAAAAAACAAAAACAAAAACAAAAUAAAACCUAGAAUAAGCAGGAGUAGCAGAAUUUUAUUUGCCUGGGAACAUCCUCCCAGAGCCUCUUGGUCUGCUCCAGCUUAGACUUGUCAUACUUAACACCCUCCGCCUGCCAUCCCUCAGCAUGAGCCUUCCUCUUCAUCUCAUCCCCAUGGUGUCCCUUUUCUCUUCUACAUCUUAGAGCAUGUGUUGCUUACCCCUGUUUUCUUUUGCCUCAAGAGAUCCUCUAACAUUGGAGUACAUGUUCUCCAGGGGCUCUCAGGAAAAGUGGAUAUAGAAUAAACUUUUUCUUGAUUUUAAUUUCUACUCUCCCAUAAGCAUGAUGGAUUUUGUCAGAGUAUUUAUAUAUAAAUUAUGUAUAAGCAUAUAUAUAUUUUACAUGCCACUAUACUCUGUAUUUUUGAUCUUCUUCUUUCCCUUCUGUCCUCCCCCACCCUGUCUCCCUCCCCAAUUUUUCCCCUUUCUGCCUUCAUGUCUCUUGUACUUCAUUUCUCUAUUUCUUCCCCAUUCCCUCUUCACAUUCUUGCUUAAGAUCUCCUCAAUCCCUUUCCAGUUUUCUUGCCACUUUUAUUUGGAUCUGUAUGUACACACACACACACACACACACACACACACACACACACACACACACACACACACACACACCCUGUGAAUCUAGAAUCUUCAAAUGAGAGAAAUCACGCAGCAUUUGUCUUUCUGAGGCUGUCUAUUUCUCUUCAAUGAUCCAUUUUCCAGCAACCAUAAUGACUUUAUUUUGUGAAUUUACCUUGUAUAAAGUUUCUUGGAGCAUUUGUCUGUAAAGCCUGCAAAGUUGCUCCUUGACCUACAUAUGGCCACAGUCCAGGAAAGCCAUUGUCAGUUGAAAACAGUGUUAGCUAAAAGUGUGGUAAAACAUCUGACCCCACGGGUAGCAUUGUUGUCUAGGAAUUGCCCAGCAUCUUAACAACAUAUCAUGGCCUCUGAAAAGCUUAACACACAAAAUUCAAAAUGCGAUUUUAACCAACUUUUUAUAGCUUUUGCACCGAUGUGAUGUCAGAAAAAUAGUGGGUUUAAUCCUGUAAGUCAUGAGUAAUUUACCGUUGGCACUGAGCAAGUAGAGAGUUCUAGGUUAGUGCCAAUUUUCCUUCAGCAAGGGACACAGGUUUGUUCAUCAUGAGAUUUGCAGUUUUAAGUAUGUUCCCCUGUUUCUACUAUGACAGUGCCUCUCAAAAAACCUCUUUAUGCUCUGCAGAGAAUACACAUAAAUCUUUUCCUAGGGUGAGGGACGGGUGGUAGCCCCAGUUAUGCAAAAUUCAGGAGAUGAUCUGGGAACUAGAGUUCUUUCCUCUGCACUCCUUCCCUUUUUUACUUCCUUUUCUGCCAUGUUAAGGGUCAAACCUUGGGCCUUCUGCAUGCUGGACCAAAGCUUUAGUUCUGAACCCAGUUGGUACAAUCCGCAUCCUACGUUGACUCUAUACUUUCUUCCAGUGGUAGCCAGUGCCAUUUUCUCCAAGUGCAGGUCAGGUACACUCCUAACUCUCUCUGCUACUCAUGAAGGAUUCAUUUCUCACAGAGAACUUGUCUUUGACAGCUUGUCCAACUACCUUUCAGCUUUCCACGUGUUUUGUUUUCAAGUCUCUUUGUUAUUAUGACUUGAUGCCCUUAAAUAAUUUAUAACAAUCUCUGUGCUGCUAUUUAAGAAGAGUUUGGAGAAAUGAAAGAAUGAACAACAAAGUCCUGGCUUCUAUCUGUCUUUGUCCACUUGGCUGUGUUUUGGUCAAGAACAAUAGUUUUGGAUUUGUUUUCUGCAGUGAAGUCCUGAUUUUAAAAUCUCCAGUGGAAACUCAGGAUAUAAAAUAAUUGUCAAGAGAUCAGCUCUGUUGGAUGAGAGCACCAAGUUUUCUUUCUCUAUUUCUUUUUAGUUUUGGCCCAUAAGAACAUACUGGAAACAGAGUCUGCAAACCACUGAGUCAGAGGCUCUGAACAUCUCUCCCAUAUACAUGUUGAACUUCAUGGCAUUAAGAAAGGAGCAUUGAUUUAUUCCUUAAAAGAUUUCUGGUAUUCUUUCUGGUUAUUCAAAUGGUGUAAGAAAGCAAAAAAGAGGGAUAGAGAGAUGGCUCAUUGGUUAAGAUUUUAUACUGCCCUGGCCUAGGACCUCAGUUUGCUUCCCAUCAUCCAUGUUGGGCAGCUUACAACUGACUGUGACUUCAGUUCCAGAAACCUUUGACUUAGUGUGCAUAUACUCACCUCCAAUAUACACCAAGUUAAAAACAUCAAAAAUAAACAUUAAAAAAGUGUGAAGGCACCACUUAAUGAUUAAAAUAAAAGUGUAUGAAAAAUCUCCUUACAACAUAAUCUUAUAAUUGUAAAAAUAACCUGAAAGUCUUGUUUUUUAGUGGAAAAGAAAGUGUAGAGAUUUAUUUGAAUAUUAAAAAUAUUAACCAUCUUUAGAUAGUUUGUGUGUGUGUGUGUGUGCUAUGCUGAGAUUUUGAUAGUUAAAAACUGUUUCCUUUUGCUUUUUUAAAGAUUUAUUUUUAUGUAUGUGUCCUUGAAUGUGGAUGUCAGCAUGUGUGUUGGAGCUCACAGAGGCCGGGAGAGAAUGUCCGAUCCCUUGGAGCUGGACUUAUAGGCAAUCAUGAGCUACCUAAUAUGCAGGGAAUCGAACUCUGUUCCUCUCCAAGAGCACUAAUCACUUCAACCUCUGAGCCAUCUCGCUAGCCCCAUUUUUUUUUUUUUUGAGACAGGAUCUCAUUGUAUAAAUAGUAUAAGUGGGCUUUGCCCUUGAAACCCUCUUGCUCUUGAGGGCUAGAAUUAGAACUUGAAGCCCCACACUCAGAUGUAUAUUUUGGUGAAUGGGGGUUAUGGGAAUUCUUCAAAUUCAUUUUCAGAGAGCUAAAAUUCCAUUUUAUAGUGACUUUUUUUUAAAAAUCAGAAUCCAUGUUACAACCUUAAAUUAUUUACUUAAAGAGAGUGCUGAGAAGUUUGUAGGGCCAGACAAAGAUAUUCAGAACAUUUUUAAGGAAAACAAUUCUUAACUUUAUGCAUGGUUUGACCUAAAAUGUAUAUGUGGUUUAAACAUUAAAAGAGAAUUUCUUUCUCCAAUCCCCUUCUCUUGUACAGCUAUGUGCAGAAAUUCUAUAAGAGGGUUGGAGAGAUGGCUCAGUGGUUAAGAGCACUUGACUGCCCUUCCAGAGGUCCUGAGUUCAAUUCUCAGCCAUCACAUGAUGCCUCAAAACCAUCUGAAUUGGGAUCUGAUGCCCUCUGCUGGUGUGUCUGAAAAUAAGAUAGAUAAAUAAAUAAAUCUUUAAAAAUAAUAAUACAAAAAGAAAUUCUGUAAGAAUAUGAAAGUGUUUGUUCACUCGCCACAGGGCACACAAAGGUCCCAUGGAGAAUGAGCUAAAAGAUUUUAAAAGCUUGCCAAAUGUAGCACAUUUUUGUGUGUCACAAUGACAUGUGACAAUGUGUCACAGAUGACACAAUGCUUUGCAAGUAAUAAGGAAAAAGGCAAAACAAAAUGAAAAAAUUAAUGAACAGAAAUGAACAAACAGAAACCAUUUAUUAGUGUAGAGAUUUAAAAAGGAGAUAUGGGUAGCUCUUUGCAGACUUUUCCAUCUGGAACCUGAGAUCUUACUGGGACUAAUUUGACACUAGCCCUCUCAUAGAGGACUUAGGCUUCCUCCUGAGAAACAACAUAACCAAUUAUGGCACAGCAAAGAAGCUAUUAGCUCAUCUGGAGGCACCAGACACCUUUAGGAGAAAGAAACACCACCUAAAGUUUUAUGAGAGUUGAUGUUUUGAUUGGUGUUCUGUAUUUGAAGGACUGUUGAAAACAGCUAAGCUGAUGGGUCUACUUAUACUGUCAUUUGUUGGUAGACUGUGAAAGUGUCGGAACUCUGAGACUUGUCACAUGAACCACUGUGAGACAGAAUCGUGUUUGAGGAAUCCUCCUAAUCCUUUUUCUCUUCUUUUUCUUUGUUUUUCUGAACCUAACUUUAUAGCCCCGGCUAGCCUCAAAUUCACUACAUAGAAUGAUCCUCUUGCUUCCAGUUUCCAGGUGUUGGGAUUGCAGGCAUGUACCACCAUGCGCAGUUGCUGAGGACUGAAAUCAGCAUAUAAGGCAAGCAUUUUCCCAACUAGCUAUAUCCUGGGUCCAAAUUCAGCUUUCUCAUGGAAGGGAAUUGAGACAUGAGAUUGUGUAGCUGUCAACGGAAGAGAAGGCAAAGUCUUCGGGGAGAAGGGACUGCUUCUGGCCAGGGAUGUGCUUUGGUGGUAGAACAAGUAUCUUGGAGAUGCCUGUGAGCACACAAUGUACACUUGGUUACACAUGGCUACAACAGGGCGUGUGUGUCAUGGCCUCAACUUGCUUGAUGAUGACAUCAGGAAGUUGGCCUCUGGCCCAGGAAUUUUGAGAAGAGCCAAAACAUUGUGAAAUGUUCAGAGGCUGCUCUCUGUUGCUAUCUUCAAGGAGAAGCCGAGGGAAGCCUGCAAAGCACUAGGCCUAGAUCCUGGAACUUCCUACUGGGUCAAUCUAUUUGCCUUAUUGUUUCUUCGAUAACCUUUUGCAAAUUUACUAAAAGACAAAGCAAUUCUCCAAUCAAAUGCCCUUGUCUAGUUGGCUGUCUGUCGUUUCCCUAUAGUUUCCACUAUAAAUCUGUAAAUACUUGUACCUGUUUUCACCUCUCUUUGAUAUUUCAUACAUAGGCCCCUCGCUUGUGGAGUAUUGACUUGGGGGUGUCAUAUGAGGCCAUUUUCUGUGAGCCCUCCUAGUAGACCCUGACUUCAGGAUGACUGGCAUCUCAAGAGGGAAUUCCUGCCUUAACUUGCCCCAGCAUCUUCACCUUGUUCUUCAUCUUCACUUCAUCUUCCCCCUUUGCUUUGGUGUUUCUAUGCCCGCCGUUCAUGGGCAUAGGUUCUUGGUUCCGUUUUCACUUGGUUAGAUCCUUUCACUGCUCUCUGAGCUGGGCUAGCUGAUCAGGACCGGCUUCCUUUGUAUGGUUGGUGGUGAAGGCAAGAUGCAACCUGUGCAACAUAAAUCACCUGGUGAACAGCAAGCCUUCUGGCAGGCUAGUUAUUAUGAUCUUGGGUAUUGUUUUAGAAUGGAGCUCACGCCACGUAAGGCAGCUUCUUCUUUGAGGCCUAGAUUUGCCUUGCGCUUGUCCUGAUGGAGUUUGGUUUCUCAACUCCUACUGUGAUGUACUCUCUGGGCCACUUUUCCUUCUCUGUCAUCUAUUCCUCCUCAUUGCUGUUUGUUUGUUCUCUCUUCAGAGUCGUUUCAGGAACAAAUACAUUUUAUUUUUCAAAACGUCAAAACUAAGGUGUGAAUAGAUAGCAUAUUUGAACAUAGCGCAUGAAGGAAGUUUGUAUUUUAGCUAGGAACUCUGCUAUAGAGUCUGAUGUGAAGUUUGAGAGGUCAGUGGGUAGGGAGAUUGUCUAAGCCUUGCACAGUCCCCUUUGCUACUGACCUAGGGAGUGUUAAUAUAGUGUCUAAAGGACACUAUGAAAUGUUUACUCAGGGCAUGAGGGUCCCAGGGUUGGUUCUGUUUUAGAGAAGGAAAUAUGAAUAGCAUAUCUUUUAAGAAUUACUUUAGAGGGGGUUGGAGAGAUGGCUCAGUGGUUAAGAGCACUGACCGCUCUUGCAGAGGUCCUGAGUUCAAUUCCCAGAGCCACAUGGUGGCUCACAACCAUCUGUAAUGGGAUCCGAUGCCCUCUUCUGGUGUG